GAUAAACGCUGGCGGCGCACAUAAGACAUGCAAGUCGAACGGACUUAACUCAUUCUUUUAGAUUGAGAGCGGUUAGUGGCGGACUGGUGAGUAACACGUAAGCAACCUGCCUAUUAGAGGGGAAUAACAGUGAGAAAUCAUUGCUAAUACCGCAUAUGCUAACAGUAUCGCAUGAUACAGUUAGGAAAGGAGUAAUCCGCUAAUAGAUGGGCUUGCGUCUGAUUAGAUAGUUGGUGGGGUAACGGCCGUACCAAGUCGACGAUCAGUAGCCGGACUGAGAGGUUGAACGGCCACAUUGGGACUGAGAUACGGCCCAGACUCCUACGGGAGGCAGCAGUGGGGAAUAUUGGGCAAUGGGGGAAACCCUGACCCAGCAACGCCGCGUGAAGGAAGAAGGCCUUACGGGUUGUAAACGUUCUUUUACCUAGGGACGAAGAACGUGACGGUACCUGAAGAAAAAGAC
rnacentral:rRNA from 1 species